ACGGGUGAGUAACGCGUAAGUAAUCUACCCUUGCAUCUGGAAUAACCCACCGAAAGGUGAGCUAACACCGGAUACGUUCAGAUUGGUGCGAAUCAGUUUGAAGAAAGGUGGCCUCUUCUUGAAAGCUACUGUGCAGGGACGAGCUUGCGUACCAUUAGCUAGUUGGUAGGGUAAGGGCCUACCAAGGCGACGAUGGUUAGCGGGUCUGAGAGGAUGAUCCGCCACACUGGAACUGGAACACGGACCAGACUCCUACGGGAGGCAGCAGUGAGGAAUAUUGCGCAAUGGGGGAAACCCUGACGCAGCGACGCCGCGUGGAUGAUGAAGGCCCUUGGGUCGUAAAAUCCUGUCAGGUGGAAAGAAAUGUAUAUAUGCUAAUACCAUAUAUAUUUGACGGUACCACCAAAGGAAGCACCGGCUAACUCCGUGCCAGCAGCCGCGGUAAUACGGAGGGUGCAAGCGUUGUUCGGAAUUACUGGGCGUAAAGCGCGCGUAGGCGGUUUGUUAAGUCAGAUGUGAAAGCCCUCGGCUCAACCGGGGACGUGCAUUUGAAACUGGCAGACUUGAGUAUUGGAGGGGGUGGUGG
rnacentral:rRNA from 1 species